AUACGGAGGAUCCGAGCGUUAUCCGGAUUUAUUGGGUUUAAAGGGUGCGCAGGCGGCCAUUUAAGUCAGCGGUUAAAUCGUGGGGCUCAACCCCAUUCUGCCGUUGAUACUGGGUGGCUUGAUUGCGGUCGAGGUUGGCGGAAUUCGUUGUGUAGCGGUGAAAUGCAUAGAUAUGACGAAGAACACCGAUUGCGUAGGCAGCUGACCAGAUCGCAAAUGACGCUCAUGCACGAAAGUGCGGGGAUCGAACAGGAUUAGAUACCCUGGUAGUCCGCACAGUAAACGAUGAAUACUUGUUUUCGGCGAUAUAAUGUCGGAGGUAAAGCGAAAGCGAUAAGUAUUCCACCUGGGGAGUACGCCGGCAACGGUGAAACUCAAAGGAAUUGACGGGG
rnacentral:rRNA from 1 species